rnacentral:pre_miRNA from 1 species
AAUUAAAAAUUUGACCUAUUUCUACCAUUAAAACCCAGCGUGGUUAAUAAAAUAACCAGACAGUUCCACAUGGAGUGCCAUGUGUACUUAUCGACAUACAUAGACCAGUUUUUAACAGUAGAAAAGGAUGAUUUUUUAACA